UCAAAAUGCUUUUAGCUGUAUCAAAAUCAAGCACUGUUUCAAACAAAUUGUUUUAUCCAUCUUCUCCUUGGGUCUAACUGAAAUGAUUGGCUAGGAGAUAUAGACUUCGCAAAAUCUAGAGUGUAUGCGGACUGCCCCUAGCUAGCAUUCCCCUGGAAUUUGAAGGUAACUAGUAACAAGGAUGUCAUACUAAUAGAUUUCAAACCAACUGAUUGCUACAAAAAUACAAUCUAAUAACAUUACGUAUCUCACUUUCUAUUUGAUGAGACAGUAGAAAUACUUAAG
rnacentral:lncRNA from 1 species